rnacentral:rRNA from 1 species
UACGUAGGGUGCAAGCGUUAAUCGGAAUUACUGGGCGUAAAGCGUGCGCAGGCGGUCCGUUAAGACAGAUGUGAAAUCCCCGGGCUUAACCUGGGAACUGCGUUUGAUACGGAUGGGCUAGAGUUCGGGAGAGGAGAGUGGAAUUCCCAGUGUAGAGGUGAAAUUCGUAGAUAUUGGGAAGAACACCGGUGGCGAAGGCGGCUCUCUGGACCGAGACUGACGCUGAGGCGCGAAAGCGUGGGGAGCAAACAGG